AGAAAAAAGAAAAAGAAAGAAAGAAUGAUCUAAUGAUCCCAGCAUGAAAAUUUGAAUAGUUAUGGAAUGCUAAAUGGAAAAGGAAAAAAAAAUUGCAUACAUUUUCACCAAAAUGCACACGAGUUGACAAGGGGAAAAAAUGAAUUCUACAUGAUGACAGAUCUAAUUUGUGCAUACCUGAAAGCCUUGGGAAGAUAUAUUAUUCCAAGGAGCA
rnacentral:misc_RNA from 1 species